rnacentral:tRNA from 1 species
UCCCGUGUAGCUCAGUUGGUAGAGCAUGGCACUUGCACUGCCAGGGUUGUGGAUUCGAUUCCCAUGGGGAA